GGAGAGAGGAAGAAAGGAAAGAAAAGAAAGAAAGAAAGAGAAAGAAAAAGAAAGAAAGAAAGAAAGAAAGAAAGAAAGAGAAAGAAAGAGAAGAAAGAAAAAAGAGAAAUGACUAUGUCUAGAGAAAAAGAUCUAGUGGGCAAACUAUAAGUGAGUAAAUCAGGCUAGUAGCAAACAUAUUCAGGAACCACCAUGAUAAAAUGUGGCUGCUUAUCUUUCCUGUUUGAACAGGAGGUCACAGUUUUGCUAUAUAGAGUUGAAAGGUUGUAUAGACAGGAUGUGUUAAUUUGAGUUAGAAUUCAUCUGGGGCACCUGGACAGUUAAUCCAUCUCUGGGCUUCAGGAAUCCAAUACUACCCUAAGAACACUGUUGUAGAAUGUAUACGGCAUGCUGGACAUGGAAAUCGGCUUGCUCCAUUGGUGGUGGGGCAUAGAGAGGUUCAUGUCAGCCCAGCACAUCCCCAGGAACUAUACCAGUUUCCUUAUUGCCCAAGCCAAUAUCUACAAUGCAAAGCAUCUUUCAACUGUAAUUUAGGAGGACUAUGAGCUGGCCACCUGAGUUUUUGCUUGCAGUUCAGGAACUAUUGCUAAAAAUGCAUUUUAUGGUGAAACAAGGGAUUAGCUAAUCUUUCAGGCUAACAGAGGACCAGCUACAAAUGUUUCCUGUGUGUAUUGUGAAACUCUGAGAUAACAGAGAAGUUCCUUAUUGCCCUCUGAAUUUCCCUUCCCCCAGGACCUCCACUGGUCACACAAGCCAUUAUCUGAGACAAGCUGACCAGAGCGUGAUGCUAUAACUUUUUUUGUUCAUACUUCCAAAUUAAAUCUGGUUAGAAAAAUAAAUGGCUAGAAAGUAUUUAAAUCUUGUCUUGAAUCUUGGAGGAAUUUACUUAUUUUUCUUCAUCUGUUGGCUACCCUUCUUUAAAAAAAAAAUUAUUAUUAUUUUUUUUGAAACGGAGUUUUGCUCUUGUUGCCCAGGUUGGAAUGCAAUGGUGCGAUCUCAGCUCAACGCGACCUCUGCCUCCCGGGUUCAAGCGAUUCUCCUGCCUCAGCCUCCCGAGUAGCUGGGACCACAGGUGCCCGCAUUGUUCCACUUCAUAUCUUCUUCUUUCUCUUCUCAUUUUAUUUUCACUGCAGACCAGAGUGAAGACAAAUGUGUAUUACUUGGUAGCUUAUGAACAGCAAGGAAAAACUGACUGGCAACCGCCAUGGAAAGGUGUGAAACCGUAACCACGAGGACUCUCACAUUUACAUGUUACUGACUAGCGAAUGUCUAGGCCUAAAACAUCUGCCCUCUUAUAGCUGUUUUAUUAUUAUGUAAACAUGGCUACAAGAUUUCUGACAUAAAAUAGUAGAUGACUCAGUGUCUUCAAAUGAUUAAUUGCUGGUUUUUUUGCCUGACCUCUUUCUUCAUUUCUUCAAUAAUAAAUCUAUUGUCAUGCAUUGAAUUACGGAAGACUGAAGCUCCCAAAUGCUGGGCCUGAAAAUGCACUCACUCUCUCCAACAGCAUGCGGGUGUUUCUCAUUAGUUUCAUAAGUGCCAAGAAAAUUUCAAAAUGAUACCAAACAAGAAUAUUUUAAAUUUUAUCACAUUACCAGCUAAGAAAUCUGUAAGCACAUUGUUAAUUCACUUAUAUUCAUCGCACAGCAAAACAAAUAUGGCAUUUCAAAACUGAGAAAGUUAAAGCCUCCUAUAAGAAGUCUAUAGCCACCGUUUCUUGAGUCCUGUCUUCAUAUCUCAUUCCUCCCAGAGCACAUCUCUCACCAAGGUUCCUGUUAGAUUCCAUUCUGGUUUGUGUCUUUGUGGAGGCAUGUCUGUCCGUAGCCAAGACACAGAGGGCUAGACUGGUUGUAACACAAAUCAGAAAUUUCUGCCUUGCAGCUGCCUGGGGAAGUAACAGUUAAUUGAGCGUGGGAGCUGUGUGUAGACCCUCAAGACUAACAGUUAAGAGGCAAGGUUUCAGUAAAAAUGUUUAGAAGCUGCAUACCACACAGCUGGAAAUGAAGGGCAGAGCUGUUUUCUGGGGAAUUUGAAUUAUGUGUACAUCCAAUCGAGAACAAUAAAUGAAUUUGUGUCCAGCAAUAAUAAUCCCUCAGUUAUAGAUAGACAUACCAUUUAUGCAGCACUUCCCAUGAAUUCUGUCUCACUGAGCCUCACAACAGUUCUGUGCAUACAAGGCUGUUAAUUGCAAGCCAUUUUAUUUAUUUAUUUAUUUAUUUUGAGAAGGAGUUUAGCUCUGUCGCCCAGGCUGGAGUGCAGUGGUGUGAUCUCAGCUCACUGCAACCUCCGCCUCCCAGGUUCAAGCAAUUCUCCUGCCUCAGCCUCCAGCGUACCUAGGAUUACAGGCAUGUGCCACCAUGCCUGCAAUUUUUGUAUUUUUAGUAGAGAUGGGGUUUCACCAUGUUGGCCAGGCUAGUCUUGAACUUCUGACCUCAGGUGAUCCACCCGCCUCGGCCUCCCAAAGUGCCAGGAUUACAGGCAUGAGCCUCCAUGCCCGGCCAUCAUGUCAUUUUAGAGAUAAGAACUCCAAGGCUGCAGGAGAUGAAAUAGUUGGUUCCCUUUUGAACUAGAUGUGAGUGGCAAGCUGGGGAUCACAUUCAGGUUUUCUGAGGGUACUUUUUACUAAGCAGGAUGCCUCUGUCCUCAAAUCCAGGUUAAGGAAUUCACCCCCUUAACCGGCUUUCCAUUUGACAAAGUGAGAGUCCUAUUAAUCUAAUACUGAACUUCUGUUAGUCCAUUUCCAUUGUACUGAAACACAAAAGACAAAUUCCCAUCAUUAAGAAAGUUGUAACAAGGGGGAUAUUUAUGUCUCUCUCCCCGUCCUGCUUUGUAUUCUCUUUUUAUUUUUUUCAUUGCUUUUGUAAUUCAGAUUGUAUUAGAAAUUAGAGGAAGGUUGAAACUAGGUAUAUGGUGACCAAGGUGUGGAAGAUGGAAUUCAUCCUCUUUUCUCCAGGUUUUUUGAGUGGAAGUUCUGACAAUAGGGACAGUUGUGUCACUGUGUUCUAUGCAGUGUCAUUUUAUUUUCCUGAAAACAUUUGUCCUUGCUACAAGUAGAUUAGAGGUUAGAAUGCAGGAUUGGCAGGCAGGAUUUGUGGUUUCUAUUUUUAGCCCUGCCACAAUUUUAUUGCACAAGGGUGAGUCCUAAGCAGUGUGGUUUAUUGGAGAGAGAACUCGAUUGGAACUGGCUCUCCUGUGAAUGAAUGAUACUGAGCACCAUAGCUGAGCAUCAGCCGAGAGGAAGGGUCCAGACUAGUGUGAGCCCCUCCAUCACCAAAUACAAGCGUUCCUAUAACUAAUGUAUGUGAUUCACUACUCUGCAGGAGGACCUGCA
rnacentral:lncRNA from 10 species